rnacentral:rRNA from 1 species
ACGACUACAUAUCAGGCAUAUCAAUAAGCGGAGGAAAAGUCGCGUAAACGUGAUGAACACGAAAGUAAGGGUGACGUUCCAGGCGACGUAAAGUCCGUGGAUGUACUUGUCGCUGAACAGGCGGAAAAUCAUGACGGCGUAGAUGCCAGCAAAGAGGACGCCGAAAUAGACGGCGGUAAUCGCGAAGAUGGCGGUGUGCGUCUGCUUGAAGAUGACUGCGCUCGAGGCGAACAGCAGGAAGGCUGCCGAGGCGCGGAAUGUCCUGCUGCGCUUGACCCAAAACUUGUUGAACACUUGGCCGAAACCGUUGAGGCCGCCCCAGAUGAUAAAGUUCCAGCUUGCUCCGUGCCACCAACCGCCUACAAUCUGCGUGGACAUGGCGUUCAUGUUGGUGGUAAUGAACUUGCGGGAGUCCGGCUUGAAAUAGGCGUAAAGGGCGAUGUAGAGGAAGAAGAGGCCGAGGGCGACGCCGACCCAUACGCUACCGGAAAGGAGAAUGGCCACGAGGCUCAAGAAUCCCAUCCAGAAGUAGGUGCCGAGGGUCGCAUUGCGGUUACCGCCCAGCGGAAUGUACAGGUAGUCGCGCCACCAGCUCGAAAGGGAAAUGUGCCAACGACGCCAAAAUUCGGUGGGGGGAGAGCGCCUUGUAGGGGCUGUUGAAGUUCUGCGGCAGGCGGAAACCCAUCAAGAGGGCGACGCCGAUGGCGAUGUCGGUGUAGCCGGAGAAGUCGGCGUAAACUUGCAACGAGUACGCGAAACAGGGCGAUAAGGUUUUCAAGUCCCGUGAACAGGAGCGGCGUGUCGAAAACGCGGUCCACGAAAUUGGUGGCGAGGUAGUCGCUCAAGAUAAUCUUCUCGGCAAGUCCGUUCAGAAUCCAGAAGACGGCGAUGCCAAAGGUGCGGCGGGGCAGGAAAUACUUGCGGUAAAGCUGCGGAACGAACUUGUCGGCGCGAACGAUCGGGCCUGCGACCAGCUGCGGGAAAAAACGUGAGGUAGAAACCGAAAUCGAGAAUGUUCUUGACGGCCGAAAUCUUGCCGCGGUAAAUGUCGAUACAGUAGCUGAUCGCCUGGAAGGUGAAGAACGAAAUACCUACGCUUAGGAUGUUGAUCUACAGAGCGAGAGU